rnacentral:tRNA from 1 species
UGGCUGAGCGAUAAAGCGCUUGGCUUACGAACCGGAGAUCCCAGGUUCGAAUCCUGG